rnacentral:rRNA from 1 species
UACGGAAGGUUCGGGCGUUAUCCGGAUUUAUUGGGUUUAAAGGGAGCGCAGGCUGCCGGGUAAGCGUGACGUGAAAUGCCGCGGCUCAACCGUGGAAGUGCGUCGCGAACUGUCCGGCUUGAGUGGGUACGACGCCGGCGGAAUUUGUGGUGUAGCGGUGAAAUGCUUAGAUAUCACGAAGAACCCCGAUUGCGCAGGCAGCCGGCGAGUCCCCAACUGACGCUAAAGCUCGAAGGUGCGGGUAU